GCAUACUGCCGUGAAUACGUUCCCGGGCCUGUACACACCGCCCGUCACACCAUGAGAGUUGGGAAUACCCGAAGCCUGUGAGCCAACAAACGAGGCAGCAGUCGAAGGUAGAAUCAAUGAUUGGGGUGAAGUCGUAACAAGGUACC
rnacentral:rRNA from 1 species